CUGAUAAUAUCCAUGGGCAAGGGAAAGACAAGUAUGCACCACAAGGCUUCAGAGAUUGUAUAAAAGUUCUUAUUCUUUCUUCUAGUUACUAAAAUCAUGGGGGCAGAGCAGGGGGAGAGGAAAGAAUGAGAGAGUAAUACGCUAAAAAGGGCUGUUCCUCGUAUUGGUCAGACCUAGUGCUUCCUUUUCUUAUUUAUAUUUUGUGUUCAUAGUAUUAGGUCUUUCUUUAGUUACAUGCAUUUGUUAUGACUGUCAGGUCAUAUCAAUGUAAACAGCUGUGCUUGAACAACUGCUGGUGUUUGUAACUAAUGGGCAUGUUAUUGUAGUCAGAUAUGUGCUUAAAAUGUAACUGCAGUAUUUGUUCCUUAAAAGCACAUAUCCGGCACUAAGGAUCUAAUUUUGUACCUUUAGUUCUAAGUAAAUCUUUGCUAUUUCAAAGAUCAAGCACUUAAUACUCACAAACUGCCUUUCAAAAUAUUAGUGUCAGGAGUCACGUAAAUGGUUUUCUGCAAUUCACAGACUCUAAUGCAAAUCUAAAUUUUCCUAAAGCUCCUUUAUUUGAUGCUCACAAUCGAUCAAGCAGCUUUUUUGCUUAUCUGCUUUCAUUAAAAUUAUCUGCAGUACGUUCUGUCUUUCUAACUCGCUCUGCCUGCAGUAGGGAGAGAACCACCUGUAACAAGGUAUCUAAUCAGCAAUGAACUCCUGCAACACUUUUGACAUGCAGGGUCCUUUCAAUGUUUUAUGUCUUGCAAGUUUCACUAAGGCUAUAUUGUUUAAGAAACAUUUUCUGUAGUCUGUAAAUCACAGGUAGAGGUCUCAGCUUCUGUCACAAAGCUGCAUUUAAUGAUAUACAGAGCUAGUGCAUGCUCAAUAAGCAAGUUAAGUGUAGCUGAAAAUCGGGCAGAUCACUUUAUAAAGCGCUGUGGAGGAUAUAUCCAUCUGAAGAUAAUAAAUAAUGGGAAUAUACCACUAAAACAAACAGUAUUUAAAAGAACAUGCUGAUUUGAAGACAGAAGUUGUUUGAUCAGUUUAAGGAGCCCCAGAAUGGUCCUUGACUUCUGCUCUGGGCUGUUACAGUGUUGUGGAGUGCACAGCUAAGCUUUGUAAAAUACUUUCGUCUCACAAUCAAUACAAUAGCAAGUACAAGCUGAAAGUACAGUGAAAUAAAUUCAGAUUUCACUUCUAAUACUCCAUUCUAAUACCCUAUUUUGCACUGAAAUAAUCAGUGAGUCCCACAUCAAAACAUUAGGCCUUCUCCAAGUUAAAGAAAAGCUAGGAAAAUUAUUCACAAAUGUUUGCAUGAAUUCUAAAUUGCUUUCCUAUUCAAAAGUGUUCACACCCCUUUUGGUGAUUAAUCCAUGAACAUUUGUGCUAAUGGACAUCUGCCCACACAAAUGUUUGGCUUUUCACUAAGUGACAACUUAUUUUAUUUGCAAAUAAGGUAUUGGUGCCCCAGUAGGGCACUCACCAUCAUCCACUCAAAGACUAGGAACAGUACCAUGUGAUUUAGGUUACUAAUCUUAUAUAAUGAGUUGUGAAUAGGCAAAGAUAUAGUGGAAUUAACAGUUGAGGAAUACCACACCAGUAGAAAUGUACUCUAGAUGAGUAUCUGACACUCCAAACUGAAAAGAAACCCAAAAAACCAACAACCAGAAACCCCAAACCAACCAAUCAAAAAAAACCUACCCCAAUAUCUAGGCUGCUGUGAAAAUAAGAAAAGGGCUGCAUCAAAUAAAAUAUUUCUGCAAGUAGUAUGACCUGUUAUAGCUGUACUACUACAGCCUGGUUCCAGGUAGGUCUGAAACCUAAUGACUUAAGGUUUUAGAAGAAAAUAUAAGAAAAAAAAAAAAACUCUUACAGCUUAUAUAGAAAGCAACGAACUGAAGAAUUUCUUGAACUGGGUACACACCUGGCAUUAACUUGCAGGCACUCAGGCACUACUGAAACUCUCAACCAAACUUUCCAAGCUGUUGAUACUUACUAGUGAGUUCAGCAAGGCAGCCAAAAGCCAACAUAUAUUCUGCAGUUUUCAGCCUCAGAAAUGAACUGGAGGUGUUAGGAAAGCAGGCUUCUGCUGAGUUUAUUUUCUCUGUUUGUGAGCUUGGCAAUAUCUCAGCUGUUUUCUUAGCUAUUGAUUUUUCAGGUGGUAGUCUGAUAUUUAACCAAUACCUUCAGGAAAGUGCUCUUUUCAUCCAACUUACAACCAGGACAAAGGACAACUGUGUUAAGAUUUUUCUUCUUUUCCCCUACCAGAAACAUACAACAAACUCAAAUCUUGCAACUUCUUGCUUCAAAGAAGACAAAGAAAUUGAGUCAGAGAUUUCUUAUUAAAGCAGUAGAAAUGGCUAUUUAAUUUUCCACCCUUCUCUCAGCAGGAUCUCUUUUGAGAUGCAGCAUUUAAGACCUCUCCAGCAGGUCUUGGUUACCUUAAUGAGGGGCAUAAAGAACACAAUUGCAAUUAUGAGAAACUGUGAUCUGUUGUGUUGAUAUGUCUCAGCUAUGUUGUGGCUUAAAUGAAACACUGAAGACCAGUAACACCGACAGAACAAACACUGAUUUGCUUUGAGUAGGUGCAAGUGUUAAAAUGGAAGUAAGCCCUACCUACUUAAGUGUGGUUGUCCUGCUAAUAUGUUUGCAUGAUAACAUGGGCCAGAAACCUCUCUAUCCACAAGUAGCUAGCAACAAAUACAUCUGUCCCUAAGGAGCCAGAUAUCUCCUUAUGUAUACAAGAUGUUUCAAAUUGACAGCAUUGGUCAGUAUGCCAGUCCAGGGGCACAGGAAACCUGAUUGCCUGCUCUCAAAUUUUCUUGCAGUCGUUGAGACAAAAGAAGAUUUAAAGGAAAAUUUUGAAAAGUGGCAUUGGUUGACAGAUAUCUCAAAAAGUUUUCAACUCAGAGUGCUGAAAAAUUACUUGAAUGGAACAGCUUAAGACUUACUCAGUAAGACAUAGAGGCAAGUAAUUAGUAGUUGUACACAUACCUAUGGGAAAAUACCAAGUUGAAAUCCUUUUCUGAUUCUGUUUGAGGCUUGAGCUUGAAUUGUUCUUAACAAAUAUAUACUCUGUCUAAUCCAUGGAAAAUGACCCUGUCCAGCAGAAAUUUUAGUUUCAAUGACUCAGCAUCUUUGGAGGAAAAUGUAUCUUUUUCAUCAAGGCUUCAGCACAGAAUUUUCAGCUGUAAUUCUGAGUUUAUUGAUCACUCUGUAAGUACAUCCAGGAAAUAAUAGCUUUAAAACUUAAAAACUUCAGUCCAGUUGUCAAGGAGUAGUUCUUUUUUCCUGAGGUACAUCAAAUCUCUACAAGUUUGCAUGCUUAAACAGUUGUCUUAGUCUAGUACCGUUUAAUUUCUUUCUUGAUUGAUUUCAGAUGUCAGGAAAGGUCAGGCCUAAUCAGUACUUGGAUAGGCAAAUUCCCAGGGAACAUGUCACAGAGUGAGUUGUGGUGAUCCAGCAUACUGGACUCACACCCCAUGGCUGCCUCUCAGCAAGGGCUGGUAGGAAGAACUUUCCAUUCCAAGAUCUUGUCAGCUUUUGGUCUCUUUGCUCCUGCAGCAGUCUUUGUUAUUAGUAUGAUAUUAUGUUAAUCAAAAUUUCAUUGAGAAAUUACAGCAGGCCUAAUUCUGCCCAUGUUGAAAUAGUCAAACUGACUUAAGUGGAAGCAGAAUGAAAUUAUAAACCAUUAUACAGUUCUUGCAUAAUUUCAGUUUUGUAAAUAAUAUUGGCUUUUUGUCCUGAGUCAUUGGGUAGUGUUAUAUCCCUUUAAAUGGCUCUGCUCUUCUACCCUAGAGGUAACUGUGUGAUAGAUGAAGUUGUCUCCCUGCCAUAUACAGCGUAUGACGUGCUCACAUCUUUGCAUGAGGAAUUCUAGACUACUGUAUCACCAUCACUCCUUCUGUUGCAGACACAGUGUCCUCCCCAGUCUGCAGCAGCACUAUUAGCUCAGUUUCAACUGUGACAGAAAAGAAACACAAACAGAAGCUCAGAGAAAGCAAAGAUGUAAUUACGAUUCAGCCUGCCUGAAUAAGUCAGCAGCAUUUGCAAUAUUCUGCUCAAUAUAUUUAGCAGUGAAAUUGGUGGACUCUUUUGCUUAUUCUCACUUCACCUCUGUGAAGCUGCCUUGAGUACAUGCCUCUUUCAUAUACUUACGUUAACAUCCACUAAUGGUAAAUAUUGAAGCAUGUAUCAGGCUGCUGAUACAUACAAUGGAUGCUGCUCUAGCCCGGCAUUCUGUUCUUGUGUUUUGGUGUUAUCCAAAAUAGGAGUUGGACAAGCAGUUUUCUCACUCUUCCUUUUUUGUCAUCCCUCACUAUGGUGGUUGUUCUUUGUAAGCCAUUUCUUUUCCUUCCUGCCCACUGCACAAACCCAGUAUUGUGUAGCAUGAAAUGAGGAACAAGGGGGGCGCAGACUGCUCCUGUGUGCCCCCUGCCACUCCAAUUCUCUUGUUCAUUAAAAGCUCCUAUUGACUUUAAAUCAGUUCCACAGGGCUUUGUGUUGACAGAAAUUUGCCCAGAGACAAUUUGGCUGAAUUUUGUCUCCAGACUUCAAAGAAGCUUGCACUCGUACAUGUAGUUCAGACAGAAUUAUUGAUAAAGUUGGAGUGGGAUUAACAAAAAGUGCUGCUGGGGCCACAGCUGUAAACUCUGAACCUGUGAUAUGUCAUGGAAUAUUGGGGUUUAUAUCUGACUUUUACAGCUCCCCAAAUGAAACCAAGUCAUAUAUGUACUGUUUGUUUUCAACUUUCUGCCUGUUUUAGGAUUUAAAAUUUUACACAGUUUUUUGUGUGCAUUUUUUACUACAGGUACUUCAACCUGAAGAUGUUCAUCACAGUCAAAAAAGAUAAAUCCUAGACCUUUAGCAUAACAAUGAGGGCCUGAAUAUCCGCUCACAGAACCAUCACAGGUUUCAAUCUUUACUGACCAGACAUCACCAUUGCAAUCUCCAUUGCCACCCAGCAUCUGAGAAAACUUUGCCCUAAAAGUCCAGAUUGGGAUUCAGUAAAGAAGAAAAAUGAGAAAACAUGUUUUGCUGUGCAUAACCCACAACUCAGCAGUAAAAAAAGCAGAGGCAGGUGUCUAUCCCGUGGGAGUAAGUACAGAGGGAGAGGUGGAAGAGAAGUACAGCAAAGAAACUCUAUGCAGCACACAGAGCUCUGCACUGCAUUCCCUUUUGUACUACAGAACCUUGUUUCAAGAGAGAGUCUCAACAUAAAGAAUGACAAAUCAUCUCAAAUCAUACUUAGUCUUUAGAAAUUACUUACAACAAGUCAAUGCCCCCGACAAUAAAAGAAAGCAUUUAAUGUGGCAGACCAUGAUGUAAGGAAGCAAUAAAAGGGAAACGCAGCUUGAACUGUCAUAUUGCCGAGUAACUCACAUCUCCCUGCUGAAGGCAGCAAAGUUGCAGUUACUGAAUGGCUAAUCUCUUCUACUGUUUUUUAAUCAGAUGUUGGCAUUAUCUGCCACUAAUUGCUUUUUCAUUUCCACUUGUAAUUAUUCCAUUGCAUGUUUGUGGUGAGAAGCUGAAAAUGAAGCAGAUCACCAAGAAAGAAUUAAUUGUUAAUGAAUAAUCAUCAGUAGGAAGCCAAUUUCAUUAUCUUCAAAGAGGUAGCUAGAGAUUAACUACUGACUGGGGUUCUCCUACGUUCAGUGCAUGACUGUAAAGUAAUCACAAAUAAUCACACCCUCCAACUUCAUCAAUUAGUUUCUAUUAUGUGAAUUGAUACCCAUUUUUGGUUUUGUUGUUUAAUGUUAAUGGUAGUAUUCAAGCUGGGGAGUGCUAAUUGGAAGGUGUUGUAUUCAGUAGUCUUAGGCCCUAAUUAUUAGAGCAUCUUUUUCAUUAGCAUAUGAUUCUAGAAGGGAUAUAUGGUGGUAGUUGCUAAAUUCACCUUGUUAUAAAUGCAUUAACUUUAUCAAUAUAUUUUAGACUGUCACUUAAAAUAGAAUGAUACAUACAAAGCUACUUUGUCAGUAAUGCACAGCAGUAGGUCAGUUUAUAAAAUGUGUCAUCAUUAACUGUUUUUUGAGAAAUUCUCCUUAAAUCAAGACAUCAAAAACAAAGGCUGCUUGGGAUUUAAGCAAUGGGUAUAAUAGAGUAAAGGACUGAAAGAAAUCAACUAGAGUAAAAAACCUGUUAGAUACUAAGCAGAAGUUUAAAAAAAACCACAUUUACCUUUUUGUUAUUGCAUAAAUUGAUGUCCAGUGAGAAUCGUUGACUAUCAGCCUCCCAUUCUUCUUUGCUACUGAUUUCAAUUCAGUCCUCUGUGAUACCAACAGCAACUGUAAAGCAUAGCUCUCCUAAUGUUUUUAGAUGAAUUCUGUAUUACACUUGUAUAAUUUUAAUGGAAAAAGAAUAAAAUAAAUAAUGCCACCUGUGGGAUAGAUUCAGCCUCUCUGUACUGCUGCCCUCAACGAAGCCUCCAAUCUUCUCCAUGUGUGGAUAUCUGAUAGCAGUGUAAAUACUGUCUGUAUUUUUCCCAGCUUUGUACCUCUGCAUGUGAAGCUCCCUGAACUUUGACCAAGAGAACAGUUGUCACCUGUUAGUUCUCUUCUAUUUGAACUAAUUUAAGACAAGCCAACUUUUAGACACAAUUUUAUUAUUCCCUGGAGCAGGGUACAUAAGACAACCCCACCAACUGUGUCUGAAGAAAUAAAUACAUUAAUAGUAGUUUUGUUCAUGAUCCUCCUCAGCAGCCACAUUAAAAGUUUAUCUGGGAAAGAUGAUAAUAUAUCAGUGUUCUGGAAACACAGAGGAAUACCACUAAGGAAGAGGAGCUCUUUAUGAACUUCAGGUUUUCUGCAAAAAGAAAUAAUGGAACUUUACAGCAACCUUUCACACUCCUAACACACUGCAUCUCAGAGACUAUGCCAGGCACAGUCAGUCAUAAACUGCUUCUGAAAAUGGUUAUAAUAAACACAGAAAUUUGACCUUUGCUGAGAAAUAAAAUUUCCAGCAAUUCUGGAAACUGGAAAGUUCCAUUCUUAUAUACAGGUGAUAGUCACAUCAAACCACCUCUUAAAAUAUUACAGAGCAGUUACAUUUAUCUGCUGUCAACCAUACAACUAACCCGUGCCACCUCUGCUAAGUACCAAUAUGUUUCUUUCUCUUUGAAGACUGCAUUCAGUGUGUUGUGACAGAGCUUAGAUCACUGCAGUUACUUUCAGCCAAAAUAGUCAAAAGCAGCAAAGGUAAUAUUCUCUUUAAGACAAGAUAUUUUUCCCAGCUAUUAUGACGUGUGAUGUGCUGAUGUCACUGUUGCCACAAAAUAUUCUUCAAAUUGUGCAUAUUUGCAUCCAGAGUGGGGUGACUUCUGUUAUAUUUCUUUUUUGGCACAGAAUCUGAUGAUCUAUUAAAUAAAUAUUAAUCCCUUGUUGCCUUCAAAGCUGUCUCUGCCAUAUUAGGAUUUUAAAUAUCUUCAUUAAUUGCUUAACUACCUUUUCCUCAAUUCCCCAUGGGCUCCUUUGAUACUAGUGGCUCUAAUGUGUUACCAUGUGAUUCAUGGUUUCACUCUGCUGUAACACAGAACAUGUUUUUAGCCAAUUUUGUCUUACAGAUGCCUUUGACAAAAUGAAAAUUCAACAUUUUCAGACUCCAAAGAUAAGCAGGCCUAGAGUUGUUAGAGUACUACAUUUUUAAAAGGAUAGAAAGCAUUUCUGUCUCAGUUCAUGUUUGUGGAAAAUGUUUGUGAUCAAAAUCAUUGGUAAAUAAACCCUUCAGUAUUACUUAAUCUAGACACAUGCCCGAGAAGAACAGACGUGAAAUGUGAAGAAGCGUAAUGCCAACCAGGAAAAAACAGCUGUACUUUGUGAUAGUCCUGGAAAGAUGACUUCUGAAAUGUAACAGGAGAAACUUUCAGUAACAAAAUUUUGGCAGCUGCAAACACAGUCACAAGAAGCAAAAAUGUAGUGUUCAUAUAUUGAUGCCUUCAUAUUUUGAUGCAAAGGUCUGAUGCACUCUCCAUUCAUAUAUCCUCCAAAACUGAAUUUCCCCACCUCUUCCAGUCCCUGGUACAGACUAAGUCAUACACAUUUUCCCAUAGGAUACUUCAUGUUGAA